GUCUCAUCAGAGCAAAGUGUUGACUCAUAUGCAAUGAACAUGCCAUGACCCAGAGCUACCAUGGGUAUUGUUACAAAGGCAGUACCUGUGGAGCUUCUAUUUAGGAAUUGCUGGGCUUCUCCUACUCUAAAUUAUAUGAACCAAGGUAAAAUAUUUCAUUUAUACACAACCAUCAUUACACAGAUUUUGACUUGCAUCCUGUUUCAUCUGAUGGAUGAUUUCACCUCACUCUUCCAUUUCUGAAGCCUGUGGGAUUUUCUAAAAUUUAGGACAAACAAUCAGUCAAAGAAAGAGAAAGCAUUCCACCAAAGGAGAAAACACCAAGGAUCCGCUUUCAGGGUAAUGUUGCUCAAAGGGAUAAAAAGUGAAACUUAGACUGAAAUAGCUCAUCUUUAUUCAGAUUGAAAAAUACAGGUUUUAAAUCUUCCAAAUUCAAUGCGUUAUAGAAAGACUACGAGUUUGCAAGUCAGCAAAUGUGUAUCCUCUCAGUUAUUUAGCUGUCUGACCUUCAGCAAGAGAUUCAAACUUUCUGGGUCUCAGUUUCUUUUUCUUUUCUUUUCUUUUUUUUUGUAAAAGAGGAAAAUUAAUGCUUGCUUCAUAUGGUUCAUAUAAGGAAUGAAUAAGAGUUAAUAUUUACCCCCAUACCAGUUAUCUAUCACUAAGUAACAAACACCUCAACAUCAUUUCUCACAAAUCCCUGGGAUGGCUGGGUGGUCUCACAUGGGCUUGCUCUUGUGGUUGUAUUCAUCUGGUGGGUCAGCUGGAGCUGGAGAGUCUGUGUUGACAUCGUGCAUGUGUCUGAGGCCCUGAUGGGAAUGGUUGGAAGUCUGGGACCUCUCUCUUCGCAUGGUUCCUCAUCAUUCAGUAGAUUAGCCCACCUUUAUAUGGCAUCUAAGUUCCAAGAAAGUGAAGGCAGAGGCUUCAAGGCAUCUUGAGGCUUAGGCUCCAGAGCUUCCAAAACAUCAUGUCAGCCACAUUCUACUGGUUAAAGCAAGUUAGAAUGCUAACUAGGAUUCAAGGUGGAGAAAUAGUAUCUACCACUCAAUGGAAAGUGCUCUGGUCUCAGUGUUUGUGUCCCAUCAAAUAGAUAUGUUGAAAUAUUAAUUCCCAAGGUAAUUGCAUUAGAUUGUAGAGACUUGAGAGGGUUAUUAAUUCUUGAAGGUCAUGCCCUCUUUGAGAUUAGUGCCUUAUAAAAGAGACUCCAGAGAGUGAAUUCAUGCCUUCCAAAAUGUGAGGACUUAGCCCAAAGGUGCCAUCUAUGAACCAGGAAGUAGGAUUUUGUCAAACACUGAAUCUGCUGGCACCUUUGUCUUGAACUUUCCAGUCUCCAGAACUGUGAGAAAAACAUUUCCAUUGUUUAUAAUGAUAUUAUGAUAUUUUGUUAUAGCAGCCCAACCAAAACAGGAAGAAUGGCAGUAUUAUAUUGCAAAUAAGCGUGAAUAUAGAGAAUGUUAUUCAUUAAGGCCAUUAUUAUAAUACACUCCCUCUUGUAUUAUAGUCUGUGGGCCCUGUUUUCCAGUGCUGUAAAGUUUAGGAGAGUCUUUCAUAAUUCUAUUGAUUGGAAACUAUGGUAAAUUAUUACAGUAAUGGCACCCAGUGAAUCACGUGCCUUUUCAUAUUCGUGCCUUUAUGUAUUCCCCUUCCAAGUCGACAUUGGACUUGGCCAUGUGAAUUGCUUUGGCCAACGGAACAUCAGCAAAUGUAACACAAAUAGAAGCUUCAGAAGGGCUUGUACACUGGGGCUUGUUCUCUUGAACACCUUGAAACUGCAAUGCCAUAAAAAUCCUGGGAUGAAAAGCCACUGCAGAAAGAAGAGUGCAGCUGGGCCCAGGUUGCAGUUCUACCAGCCAGAUACAGCUACAUGAGUGAGCCCAGGUAAGACCAGCAGAAGGGACACCCAGUCAACCCACAGAAUCAUACAUAAAUGGCACUUGUUUUAAGCCACUGAGUUUUGGGGUACAUAGCAAUAUAUAACUGAAAUACGAACUAAAAAUAUUCUAGCCAAAGGGUAGCCUAUAACAAUUGCCAAAUACUAGCUUCACUACAAAAUCACUAAGUCAUUUCAUGGUUUUAGACAUAACAUAGAGAUAAUAUAAUUAAGUGGUCUUUAAAAUAACUUUUAACUAUAGAAUUCUUUUUUAAAACAACAUCUUAUCAGAGAUUUAAAACAAGGAGACAUCUUAUUAGAAUAAAUUCAUUUUAUUGGUUCAAAUUUAUGGCAUUUUGCUUAUAAAGCCAAUUAAUGAAAACACAAUUCCUUUUUCUUUCAUACAAAAAUAUAAAUCCAGGCUCAUAAAUGGCAGUGAAAGACUUCUUGCAUUUUAGCUUACAAUUAAUUUGUAUGUUUUCCUUUAGCAAUAUGGCAUAAAGAAAAUCCUCAUUCAAGACAGACAAGUACUUAUAAGUGUUAGGGUCAUUUCACCACUUGCCUUGGAGUCUCAGGAUAUUGAAUGGUCAGGAGAAGCAUUAUAACUUACUCCUACUUGGAAAAAUAUGAACCCAUCAGUCCAAGCAAAUACAUUGAUUGAAGUCCUCUGAUGAGGUUAUAUUUUAAAUAUGUUACAUUUAACUAUUUAAAGAUUACCAUCUUUAAAAAGUUUAAAAUCUAUGUAGAAACUUAAAUUCAAAUUGAUUGUUUGUAGAGCCCUUGAAGAACCCUGAUGGUACUCUGCCAUUCUUUGCAAUUUAUUUUGCGAAUUACUAUAACACUUGAAAACUGGUUUUGCUUUGUCAUUGAUUUUGUUCAAAACUGAGGGAAGCGGAUUGGGCAUUUUAAAAUAAUGAUUUCUCCCAUGUUUCAAGUGUCAGUGCAUUCUCAAAACCAUUUGUUGGGCUCUUUAAAGAACAUUCCUGCUGGUUUCAUUUUUUAUUCGUCAAGAAUUUUUGU